rnacentral:lncRNA from 1 species
CCAACGCAUCCAUCCCCAGAGGAACAAGCGAGGAUCUCAGAGCGCGACCUGGACAGUGUCUUGCCUUAGACGACGUUUGAGAAUUUGUCAGAACAGGGCCUGGAGGGAAUAAAAAGGAGGUGAGAAGUCUCUGUAGAGAUCAUCAACAUGGCCCAUCUCUCCUUAAAAGUAAGCCAAGUAAACUCACUUAUUAGAAGAAUGACAUCAUCAGGACUGUUUCUGAGAAAGCCUACUUCUGCUCCUUACCAUAUGUAGAAAUAUAAUUUCAUAUUAAAGACCAAGAAUUCAGACAUCAUCCUGGUGCAUACAUCAGGAUUGCAACGAUAAAUGCUUUGGAAAUGUCAUUGGAGGAAGGUAAUGUUUGACAUAGGAAAGAGAAGACUUGUGGGAACAUGGCUGCUGUUUCUAAUAUUGUGUUAUGAAAUUGGGAGCAAAUGUGUUCUUUGCCUCUAGAAGGUGAAAUUAGGGCCCAUGAAUGGGUGAAAGAAGCAAGAAGAUUUGGGCUCAGACCAAGGGGAAGAAUAAGUGUCUACCAUGCUUAGCCUUAGUGGGUAAGAUAGUUCA